rnacentral:lncRNA from 1 species
GUCUUCCUUAUCUUAGAAAUACGGGGCCUCUGGGACGUUGUUGCGGCGGCGUUCAGGGUCUGUCGAGUGCUGCAAGGACCACACAAGAUCGUCAAACUGCAUGCACUUGCCUGAAAUCAGCUGCAGCUGCUAUUUCUGGAAUCGAUUUGGGCAAAGCUGCUGGUCUCCCUAGUACUUGUGGUGUCAAUAUUCCUUACGCGAUCAGCCCCUCCACUGACUGCUCCAAGUACCUCACAUUCUUUCUCUCUCAUCUUAUCCUUAUCUUAUAUUCUAUCUGCUUCAUUUUCUCUUAUCCUUUAAAUUUUUUAUUCAGACUCUUUAAACAAAUAACCAGGCGAAUUCACUAUUUAUUUUUUUCGAGUCGAUAUAAAUAGAGUACAUUCUAAUUGUACACAGUUAAACCUCUAGUAUUAUACAUAAAUAACACACAUAUCAUACAUUCACCAAUUAUUUUUAGUAUAAACAGCUUGAUAAGCAACUAUUUAGGGUAAUUUUUCUUUUUUAUUCUACUCUAAAUAACAUGUUCUUAUAUUCGUAAAAAUGUUAGGGCUAUGUUUAAAGCUACAAAUUUAUGGGUACUGUGUCAAAAAUCUUCAUUAUUUCUUUGUUAAAUUUCGUGGUAGUCUAACACAGUCAUUAAAAUAAAAUUGAGAGGAUUAUCCACUUAUUCAUUCCAAACAAACUGCAUUACUAUUGAUUUCGGGCUAAGUUGCUCUAAUGUUUGUUCAAUAAUCACGUGGGACCACAUUGUGUGAUUGGACUCAACAACAACAACAACCUAGUAUAAUCCCACUUAGUGUGGUCUGGGGAGGGUAGCGUGUACGCAUACCUUACCCCUACCCUGGGGUAGAGAGGUUGUUUCCAAAUAGACCCCCGACAUCCUUCGUUCCAAGAACUUUCCACCUUACUCUUGGGGAGACUGAAAACAAUAAAAGUCAAGAUUGUGUAUCCUUUAGAAAGAUUGCCAGGUUAUGCUGGCAGAUGGCGGGGUUAUGCCAGGAAAGAAAAAGGGUCCCUGCUGGGAUAAAAGGAGGAUCCACGGGUUAUGGCUUGUUUGAGAUUGGACUCAAACAAGCCAUUAAAUAGUGCAAGGGGAUUGAAACUGCGAGAUAGAGAGUUUAAUUACUUUUUAAAACUAGCUCUUGCGUAAUAUGUUACCAAUAUAAAUUAAACUCCUUUGUUUCCCCCUUUCAUUUGAUGUGGAGGGAUUGGAGGAAGAGGGUCAAAUAAUAAUAAUAAUAAUAAUAAUAAUAAUAAUAAUAAUAAUAAUAAUAAUAAUAAUAAAUACAGUGAAACAGAGGAAAUACAUAAUUACUUAGUUUGCCAGAAUCAGUUUUCUCCUAUUUAUUGUUAACUCACAAUUGACAAAUAAUUGUUUUCAUAGCUUUCUGUCGUGUAGAGAAGCAUAUAAUGGAACACUUGCACAAUAGCUAGUAAAUACUUAAUAAUGUGAUAUUUGAAUUUUCUUCGAAAUAGAGUAUUGGACAUGGCAGCAUGUGUAUUGAAUAUUGAUGUUUGCUUGUUGGACAUGUUAUGCAGGGUCAAGUAAGGCAGAUGAAAUAUAGUCAAUUUAUCCCGCACAAUUUGAAAGUAGUGCAAUAUUGAAGAGAAAAAUAAGAUGUGUUUGUCUAGAAUCCUACUUAUGGAUCCAUUUGUAUUUUGUAUCAAGUUGUUGACUCUUUUUUUCCUUUUUGUAUGUCUUUCGAACUAGUACAGUACUGUGUAAUAAAUUGGCUGUUGUAUUAUGGAUCUUACUUAUGUAUGAAUCCAUAUAUUUAUCUGUUUAACAUUUUUCUGCUUUCUUCUAUGACUUAAUGUCUUCUUUUUUUUUGGUUGAAAAGUUAUUAAUAGUAUAUAAUAUAUGCACAAAAAUACUUAACGUAGUUGCCGGGUUAAUGUUCCGAAGA